UAAUAAUAUAGGACCUUCGUUCUAUUUUGUUGGUUUCUAGAACUUGGGUAAUGAUUAAUAGGGACAAUUGGGGGCAUUCGUACUAACGCGUCAGAGGUGGAAUUCUUGGAUUGCGUUAUGACGAACUACUGCGAAAGCAUUUGCCAAAGAUGUUUUCAUUGAUCAAGAACGAAAGUAUGGGGAUCGAAGACGCUUAGAUACCGUCGUAGUCUAUACCAUAAACUAUGCCAACUAGAGAUUGGAGGGGUUCUCUUAUUUGGCCUCUUCAGCAUCUUAUGAGAAAUCAAAGUUUUUGGGUUCCGGGGGGAGUAUGGUCGCAAGGCUGAAACUUAAAGGAAUUGACGGAAGGGCACCACCAGGAGUGGAGCCUGCGGCUUAAUUUGACUCAACACGGGAAAACUCACCAGGUCCAGACAUAAUAAGGAUUGACAGAUUGAUAGCUCUUUCUUGAUUUUAUGGGUGGUGGUGCAUGGCCGUUCUUAGUUCGUGGAGUGAUUUGUCUGCUUAAUUGCGUUAACGAACGAGACCUUAACCUGCUAAAUAGAAGCUCCUAUCUUCGGAUAAGUGCAUUUCUUCUUAGAGGGACUUUACGCGUUGCAGCGUGAGGAAGUUUGAGGCUAAAACAGGUCUGUGAUGCCCUUCGAUGUUCUGGGCUGCACGCGCGCUACACUGAUGCGUCCAACGAGUGUACAACCUUGCCCGAUAGGGUUGGGUAACCUUUUGAACACGCAUCGUGAUGGGGAUAGAUUAUUGCAAUUAUUAAUCUUCAACGAGGAAUUCCUAGUAAUGAUGGUUCAUCAGACCAUCGUGAUUACGUCCCUGCCCUUUGUACACACCGCCCGUCGCUCCUACCGAUUGAGUAAUC
rnacentral:rRNA from 1 species